rnacentral:lncRNA from 1 species
CAAUUAAAAUCAAAAUUGAACUAAAAAGUAUGCUAUUCCUUUAUUAUUACUUUUUAUAAAUAUUUUAUUUUUUAAAACAAAAAUGACCUUAUUAUAUACAAUUAAUUUUAUAACAAAUUGUUUUGUUAAACACAUCAAACAACAAACUUCAAAUACUAUUGAUCUGCCAUGUGAUUUUUCCUAUCUGUCCAAUGCUCCUUUGGAUGGCUAGACCUCCAUUCAAGUCACUUCUGAUGUUGGACACUGUAGUUGUUGUGUGUGUGUGUGUGUGUGUGUGUGCGUGCAUAAAUUAACAAUCUAUAUUUUAAAAAUAGUCUAGGUUUCAAGCAAACUUGUGAAGAAAGUGCAGAGAAUACCUAUAUACUCCUUUCCCAGCAAUACAUUACCUGUCCCUUUGAAGUUCCAUAUAACUGUGAUACAUUUCUCAUACUCAAUGAACCAGCAAUACCAUAUCAUUAUCAACCAAAGUUUCUAGUACACAUUAGAGUUCAAUCUUGGUCUUGUAUAUUCUAUGCAUUUUGACAAAUGUGUGAUGAUAUAUAACCACCAUUACAAUAUCAUACAGAAUACUUGCACUGUUUAAAAAAAAAAAAAAAAAAAAAAACCCUGUGCUCCACCUAUUUAUCCCUUCUUCCCCACCAAAACCCUUGUCAACAGAUGACUUGUUAAUAUCUCCAUAGUUUUGCCUUUUCUAGAAUGCCAUAUAGUUGGAAUCAUAUAGUACAUACAUUUUUAGAUUGGCUUCUUUCACUUAUUGUUAUGCACUUGUUUGUUUUAUGUCUUUUCAUAGCUUGACAGCCCAUUUUUUUCCUCUGAAUAACAUCUCAUUGUCUGAUUACCACAAUUUAUUUAUUUAUCCAUUCAACUAUUGAAGGACAUCUUGGUUGCUUCCAAGUUUUAGCAAUUAUAAAUUUGUAUGAAAGUUUUUGGAUGGGCAUAAGUUUCAAAUCAUAUGGAAAAAAUAACAAGCAGAGGGACUGCUGGAUCCUAUGCAGUUCAGCAGAGCAGAAAGAGAAGGACUCUGGGACAAACCUAUGGACUGGCAGCUUUACUUUGUUCUAUAACUAGAGGCCUCUUCUUUGGAGUCACAGACUUAUCAAAGCUCUCUAUAGGUAUGGUUUGCCUUCCUUGGUUUCCUAUAUGACAAAUUAGGAAGUACUAGUUGCUCAAAGAGCCCUGCCCUCUCAUGCUCACCAAGGACAAUUGUGGCCUUGUCUGGAUUGUUACACAGAGGGCAAUCAUCCCUGAAAUCGUUUCAGCAGAUCCUGGGUCUAUAGAAAGGAGACAAGACUCAGGGAUUGAGGAUGGGAUAUUUUGGUGGAUUGGAGGCUUCCAGCUAGCUGUGCCUGAGUGACAACUUGAGAAUUUUGGAACCCUGUGGCCUUAAAACUUACAAAGGUGUCAGUUUUCUCAUAAAGUAACCUAAGUGUUCUUUCUUUAUUUUGGGGAAGUCCAGAAGAACAUGCUACAGACAUGUUUAAUCCACAUGUAUUAGAUGU